AAAGUUAUUGACAUACAAACGUAUGUCUCCCCGUGCCAAUCGGCUUCCUGAUCCGCAAGGGUCAGGAGGGCUAUGGCGCAAGCCAUAGUAAGCUGAAAAUGUCGACCGAGACCAAAAAAGAGAAACCAAGUAGCCAGCUUAAUUUGUAAUCAUAGCUGGGCCUGGAUUUAGGGCUUGUAGCUCAGCUGGUAGAGCGCCGCCUUUGCAAGGCGGAGGCCCUGGGUCCGAAUCCCAGCAAGUCCAUUUGAACCUAUGCACACAUUGAGGCCGACUCGAUGUGGAAGGGUGGAGGUCCGUUCAUUGACGGGACGGUCCGACGAUACCAUGCACAAGCUUUGCGACCAGACGCUCACUGAGUUUAGUGGGGCAUA
rnacentral:tRNA from 1 species